CGUAGUUAGCCGAUGCUUAUUCCUGAAGUACCGUCAGAAUUCUUCCUUCAGAAAAGAAGUUUACAAUCUUACGACUGUCAUCCUUCACGCGGUGUUGCUCCGUCAGGGUUGCCCCCAUUGCGGAAGAUUCCUC
rnacentral:rRNA from 1 species